rnacentral:lncRNA from 1 species
UACUGCCUUUGAUUUGGAUGCAUUGACUUCAUCCCUCUAUAAAUUCUUCAUUCAAACUCCAAAUUCAUCAAAAAUUAUAUAAAAAGUAUAGUCAAGAAAGUGUUCUCUCCAACUCUAGUCGCCGAUUCUUUGUUGCUCUCUGUAAAUACAUGUUAUGCCCCAAAGAAUGACAAUAGGUACGAAAUUGACACCUUAACUUUGAGCACCAAUAACUCCUUUAUAAAAACUCCAAAUCACACAAAAUUUGCAUCCAAUCCAUAUCAAAAAAUCUAAACUUGAUGAUCCUAGCCUCCAAAGCUUGAAUGACCUUGAAAGAGAAACCUAAUCCCUAAUAAGGCCUCGGGCAGCCUCCUUGAAGCCCAUUGGGCAUGGCCUUCGAUCAAUAGGAAUGAAGAUCUUUAUUCUUUGCCUUCAUCCAACCAUGCCUUGCUUUCAUCUUUUCCAAUAGGCCUCCUACUAGUUAAGAUUUUCUUCUUUUGGCUCUAAUCUCCUCUCAAGGCUUCAUACUAAACAUUUAGAUCCUAUA